rnacentral:rRNA from 1 species
UACGAAGGGGCUAGCGUUGCUCGGAAUCACUGGGCGUAAAGGGUGCGUAGGCGGGUCUUUAAGUCAGGGGUGAAUCCUGGAGCUCAACUCCAGAACUGCCUUUGAUACUGAAGAUCUUGAGUUCGGGAGAGGUGAGUGGAACUGCGAGUGUAGAGGUGAAAUUCGUAGAUAUUCGCAAGAACACCAGUGGCGAAGGCGGCUCACUGGCCCGAUACUGACGCUGAGGCACGAAAGCGUGGGGAGCAAACAGG